AAAACGCUGGCGGCAGGCCUAGCACAUGCAAGUCGAGCGGCAGCGGGUCCUUCGGGAUGCCGGCGAGCGGCGGACGGGUGAGUAAUGCCUAGGAAUCUGCCUGGUAGUGGGGGAUAACUCGGGGAAACUCGAGCUAAUACCGCAUACGUCCUACGGGAGAAAGCGGGGGAUCUUCGGACCUCGCGCUACCAGAUGAGCCUAGGUCGGAUUAGCUAGUUGGUGAGGUAAAGGCUCACCAAGGCGACGAUCCGUAGCUGGUCUGAGAGGAUGAUCAGCCACACUGGAACUGAGACACGGUCCAGACUCCUACGGGAGGCAGCAGUGGGGAAUAUUGGACAAUGGGCGAAAGCCUGAUCCAGCCAUGCCGCGUGUGGGAAGAAGGUCUCCCGAUUGAGAACU
rnacentral:rRNA from 1 species